rnacentral:lncRNA from 1 species
GAGGAACUCUCGGGCCGAAAGCAAUUGCCGAUACGCAUGGCGGUGAUGUCAAACGGAAGACCGAAAUCCACGAGAACUUCGGCGCCCACAAGCCUCAGACGUUCGUGGGGAGCAAGGCAGUGCAGAACAUUUUUGUCUAAUAAGGGCAGGACGCCGUAUCUCGACUGAAAGGUCGAAGAACACGUUGCUUUGGGCUCAUUUCACUUUCGCUCUUCGCGAGGCUGAACGUUCUGUCAUCGAGAGUCCUCCUGUUCGUCGUCAUCUGCAGUGCGUACUCCGUUCUGUCUCUCCACUCUCGACAGAGGGGAAAGAAUCCACUUCCUAGAGAAAACUUGCAAGUCAACUUUUUUGCGUGGAAACAAGACGGGGACUGUGAACCAGCUCCAGGGCGCAAAAGCCCGCAGGAAAUCCGUGGAAUCGUUCGCGGCCAGCAAUUCGGCAGACGCUCUCUGCCGAGACGUGUGUCGGUAGGGCUUUAACACAAACGCGCGAUUCGUGUUGUUUUCGCUGCUCUUUUGAAAGCGGCGAGCUAGGACCUAAAAAUGCGUCGGAGAUGAACAGGAUCGAACGGCAGCACGGCUACUCAUGGAACGUGCAACGGGCAGAUUAUCUUGGUCAUAGGCUACUAGAAAAGCGCUCCAGAUUCAGAGCAAGAGCAAGCACAGUGCAUUGACUGUGGCACCGAAGCGCCUGUCUCCGUUCGAAACCGAAAAAAGCGGGCAGGAACCCAAGGCGGUCCUCAACGCGGUCGUGCGGUGUCCCGCGCCGGCUCUGGAGAGGGGUGGUCGCGAGACGGCCUGGAGGGUGGAAAGUGCGAAAUAAUUGUGGACGGUUCGACUGCGGACGAGAUCGCAUCAACGUUUUCCGCGAGGGGAACGAUGAAACAUGGUUUGGAUGCGGCCAAUCGACUCUUUUGAGGUGCAAAGUGCUGCGCCUUCACUACGCAUCUCGCCCUCAGAUCAGUCAACGGCGCCGGCAGGAGUAGCGCGGGCGUGUACGGCGACCUGUUGAUCUAUCAGAAGGAACCUCUGCAGAAAUGUGGAGUGCUAGACGACGAAGACUGCUCUAGUGAUGCGUGAAGAGUGCCAAAAACAAAGUCUCUCUUUGAUUUUUUGGCUGAAACCAUCUGCUGGCGCCACCCCCCUCGAACGGCGGAAACUGCAGUCAGCGGUACUUCUUCGUGUUUGUUGACC